AAAAAUCUUCAGUGCUUCCUCCUAGUGUCCUGGCUGGAUGACCAGGUGGCUCCAGAGAAAGCCACACCCGAAGAGAGACAAGCUGCUGCAUAAACAUCGACUUCGGAAAAACCUACCCUCUCAUGCUGGGACACCAGGAGAAGAAAAUUCACCAAAGGGGAAUAAGAGAUAAGCAUACCCUGAGCAAGACUGGAUUCUGCCUUUGGACUACAGACUCCUGGAGAACUCGACCACCUGACAUUUUCCUUCCAUAUUUAUUCUCUGUGAGGUCUUAGGCACAACUGGGGCUUCAAUUACUUUCCCACACUCUGGUGAUUCUCAAUUCUAUAUCCCAGCCCUAACCUCUCAAGUUCCAGACUACAUUUCUAAUUACCCACCGGACCUGUGUAAUCGAAAGCAUCCAGAUUUGCAUGUUCAAAAUUAAAGUAAUUUCUGGCUAAAAUGGUGCUCUCUGAAUUUCCUCUAUUGGUGAAUGGUGCCACCACUCACCUCCAAAGAGAACUCCAUUUUCCUGAACCCUCCCCUCCCUUCAGCAUCCACUUUGGACUAACCUACCGAGUCAUUUAGAGUCAACAUUUUUAAUAUUGCCUGUCUCUGACU